AUGGAAGAAAGCAUGACUGACUUGAAAGGGAAGAUUUGCGACCGGAUAUGCAGCGGAGAGAUAGAAUCGUCAGAAUUUGAGUUUUGCGGUGGUGAGAGGUUGUGCGAAUCCAACGGUUUCUUUCUUCUAUUUUUCCGGAUGUUGUUUUGUGUGGGUGAUGGUGUUGAUAUUGUUUUGGUUCUGUUGAAUUUUCAAUAG